rnacentral:lncRNA from 1 species
UGACGUCGAAGUGAAGGGAGUCGUUGGAGAAGAACAUGGGUAAUAUCAAAAUAGGAAUAAUUUGAUAGGUGGGUGGUGGUCUAAAAAGUAGUUUUUUUAAAUUAAAAUGAUAAAAUUACCCAUAACUCUUUAUUGAGUUACUAUGUUAUCUUUAAUUUAUGUGGAAUAUGUUCUAGUGGUGACCAAGUAUAACUUUAUCUAAACAGCUAUUUUUGACGAAG